ensembl:lncRNA
CGAAUAUUUUUCACCCCUCCACUUCAGAAUUAGCACAUGAUGCGAUCGAUUAAAUAUUCCAUCGUCACACCUCAAAAUCUCCAAGACAUCGCUAACGCAUUCAGAAAAAGUCUUAAGGCUAAGUUAAAAUUGAAUUUGGGUAUCAAGUUGAAAAAUGCGGAAAGGAAAAAUAAGCCCAGUGAUAUUGACCUAGUUUUCUUCCCAGUUGUUUCUCGCACUGGAACUGACAUUGAUGCUGUUCUCAGUAAGAUUACACACAGUAAGCCAGUCAUUUUAGUGGUGCUUCAUCACACAUUUGACCCUGAGGCUGUUGUGUCAAACAGCAGAACAUUUGUGAAGAGAGAUCACACAUUUACAGUGGACUGUCUGUUCUUUGAGGACAAAGGAUUAUUAAAAUGUAAAAGAAAUGAUAAAGCUUGUGAAGAUGCUAUAAAGUGGCUGAAAUCAAAUAAACAACUUUUUAAAUGUAAUUAUCUCCAGAAAAAAAGUGGUAAAGGAAAAGGAUCCCCUACCAAAUCCUGA